rnacentral:rRNA from 1 species
CUGUCGCUGACCUUUGUAAAGGUUGUGCACGCCCUAGUGCACUCAUAUAUCCAUCUCCACACCUCUUGUGCAUCACCGCGUGGACCCUCUAUUUAGCUUGUUCUAAAAGGGGGGUUCAUGUUUUAUACACACAUACACAUAUAUGUAUAGAAUGUCUUAACCAAUUUGUGAUAAUACACAAUUAAUACAACUUUCAACAACGGAUCUCUUGGCUCUCGCAUCGAUGAAGAACGCAGCGAAAUGCGAUACGUAAUGUGAAUUGCAGAAUUCAGUGAAUCAUCGAAUCUUUGAACGCAUCUUGCGCCUCUUGGCAUUCCGAGGGGCACACCCGUUUGAGUGUCGUGACAUUCUCAACCUUUCUUGGUUUUAACUAAAGAAAGGCUUGGACUUUGGGGGUUUUCUUUGCCGGCCUUAUUUAAAGCCGGCUCCUCCUAAAUAAAUUAGUAGGGUUCACUUUGCUAAUCCUUGAUGUGAUAAGAUGUUUGUUUUUUUU